GAUGAACGCUGGCGGCGUGCCUAAUACAUGCAAGUCGAACGAACAGACGAGGAGCUUGCUCCUCUGACGUUAGCGGCGGACGGGUGUGUAACACGUGGAUAACCUACCUAUCAGACUGGGAUCACUUCGGGACACCGGCGCUAAUACCGGAUAAUAUCUUGAACCGCAUGGUUCAAUAGUGAAAGACGGUUUUGCUGUCUCUUAUCGCUGGAUCUGCGCCGUAUUAGCUGGUUGGUAAGGUAACGGCCUACCAAGGCAAGGAUGCGUAGCCGACCUGAGAGGGGGAUCGGCCACACGGGAGCUGAGACACGGACCAGGCGCCUACGGGAGGCAGCAGUAUGGAAUCUGCCGCAAUGGGCGGAAGCCUGACGGAGCAAGGCGGCGUGAGAGAUGAAGGUGCUCGGAUCGGAAAACUCGGUUUUGAGUGAAGAACAAAUGUGUAAGUAACUAUGCACGUCUUGACGGUACCGAAUCAGAAAGCAACGGCUAACUACGUG
rnacentral:rRNA from 1 species